GGCAACCUCAGCUAAACAAAAACAGGGAAGGCUGAGAGGGAUCGUGGCCUGGGAGGACGGGGUGUCACCCAGGGAUGUCACUGGAGGAACAGGACACUGCCUCUUUUCUCUGCAGAACCCAUCGCUGCCAGGAUUGAGCCCUAGUUCCACAUCUGACACCCAAGGCAUCCUCUGGGAUGGGGGGAAAAUGGGCUUCCCGUGCCUGGAGAGGAGAGGAGAACAGGAUUUGUGUACUCUGAGCUGCUGCUGGCGGUUUGGUGCAGAAACAGAGUAUUGACACCAGGAACUCCGCGAGGUUUUGCAGGGAAAAAUAACUUCUGAUGUGAGAGAGAAAACAGACACGUUUUUCCACUUA